rnacentral:rRNA from 1 species
ACUCCUACGGGAGGCAGCAGUAGGGAAUCUUCCACAAUGGGUGCAAACCUGAUGGAGCAAUGCCGCGUGAAUGAAGAAGGUCUUCGGAUCGUAAAGUUCUGUUAUUAGAGAAGAACAAGUCAAGGAGUAACUGUCUUGACUUUGACGGUACCUAACCAGAAAGUCACGGCUAACUACGUGCCAGCAGCCGCGGUAAU